UCCCUGGUAGCUCAGAGGUUAAAGCAUCUGCCUGCAAUGCAGGAGACCCAGGUUCGAUCUCUGGGUUGGGAA
rnacentral:tRNA from 1 species